AGAGAGAGACAUGCGCGCAUAUCAAUAAGCGGAGGAAAAGAAACUAACAAGGAUUCCCCUAGUAACGGCGAGUGAAGCGGGAAGAGCUCAAAUUUGAAAUCUUAAAGGGUUUCCCUUUACGAAUUGUAGUUUAAAGAAGUGUUUUCUGUUGAGGUUUUGGUAAAAGUUCUUUGGAAUAGGACAUCAUAGAGGGUGAGAAUCCCGUAUUUGACCUUUACUUUCAACUUUGUGAUACACUUUCAAAGAGUCGGAUUGUUUGGGAAUGCAGUCCAAAAUGGGUGGUAAAUUUCAUCCUAAAGCUAAAUAUUGGCGAGAGACCGAUAGCGAACAGGUACCGUGAGGGAAAGAUGAAAAGAACUUUGAAAAGAGAGUUAAACAGUACGUGAAAUUGUCAAAAGGGAAGCGUUUGACACCAGUGUUGUUUUUCUGAAAAUCAAUUAAAGAACUGUUUAUGCUAAGUUGUUUAGACUUUAUCAGCUAACUGUUUAGUUUUGAGCUUUUCUUUAAUGCACUUUUCAGUUAACAAGUCAACAUCAAUUUCUUUUGCUGUAAAAAAGCUUGAGGAAGGUGGCUUGAGAUUCGUCUUAAGUGUUUAUAGCCUCUUGCCUAUGCAGUCGGAGAGAUUGAGGUCUGCAGCGUAGAUCCUUCGGGGCUAAAUGCAUUUGUGCUAAGUUAUAGCAUUUUAUAGACAACUUGUUGACUAUGAUUUGUCUUGUAGCUUACUCGCUUAUGUUAUUUUACCUACGCUUAGGAUGUUGACGCAUGAGAUAUACGC
rnacentral:rRNA from 1 species